AAUGAAAACUUAAAUUAAUGUCUAAGAAACCUAAGAAAUCCAGAAGCAAACAGCAAUUUUAAAGCUGAAGUGGAAAAGAUAAAACAUUCCAAAUGCCUUAAAUCUAAAGUAUAUUUUAAAAGCAACUCAUUUGAGUGUUAAAUGGAACUGGUCUUACUUUUAAUACACAAAGCGUAAGUCUGACAUGGAAAUAAAUGUAAGCAUGCAAAGCAAGGUUUUAUUUUCAGUAAUUAACACAUCAAUAAAAACGGUUAACACUGCAGAAAUGUCCAACAGCACAUUUAACUGUAUCACUAGAAGCUAGUUUUACCCACCUUGCUGUCAAGGUGGGUAAUCAAGAAUGAUCAUCGGACAGCAAAAACUGUAAAUGACUUUAUUGAUAGGUUGCUAGGUGAUCUAUACAAACUUCCGACGGUAACUGACGGUUGGCUGUUUUGGACAUAGUGCAGAGUGAGCGAGCGUAGAAGUUACAGUUGAGAGGAGAUAACUAAGGAAUAGUCCAAUUAAGGUCCAGACAAUCAAUUAGUUAGCACUCGGUUGAUGAGGGAACAAGCUCUUACGGUGUGUUCAUGUACAAAGGCUGUUGAAUAAAGAAACGUGAACCAUCAGUUAAAGAGACCAUCUUUUCAACCAGGACGCUACAAAUACAGACACUGAUAAACUGCCUUCUUUCUGCUCAGUUUCAAUUCAGCGGCCCUCCUGAUGUGAUCUUCAUGGUUUAUUCACACUUGAGUAAUCUUCAGCUGCCGUUGUAUUGUAGUGACGGAACGCUAACCAACAGUUUCAACAUGGCUGACCACAACAACAGUCUGCUUAAUUCUGUUUUCCACCUGUCAGUCUAGUGAAAACAAAUAAACAGCAAUGGCUUUUUAGAUAACA